CCCCACUGCUAUCGGGGUGGGACUAAGACAUGCUAGUCGAGCGCCUUGGGCUAUGGUAGAGACGCGGCGUACGGCUCAGUAACACGUGGCUAACCUACCCUUAGGACGGGGACAACCCCGGGAAACUGGGGCUAAUACCCGAUAGGUGAGGAGGCCUGGAAUGGUUCCUAGUCGAAAAGGCGUUGAAACCAUGCUUUUCGACGUCGCCUAAGGAUGGGGCCGCGCCCGAUCAGGUUGUUGGUGGGGUAACGGCUCACCAAGCCUAUAACCGGUACGGGCCGUGAGAGCGGGAGCCCGGAGAUGGGCACUGAGACAAGGGCCCAGGCCCUACGGGGCGCAGCAGUCGCGAAAACUCCGCAAUGCGCGAAAGCGUGACGGGGCUACCCCGAGUGCCGUCCGCUGAGGAUGGCUUUUCCCCGGUGUAAUGAGCCGGGGGAAUAAGGAGAGGGCAAGUCUGGUGUCAGCCGCCGCGGUAAUACCAGCUCUCCGAGUGGUAGGGAUGAUUAUUGGGCUUAAAGCGUCCGUAGCUGGCCUGGUUAGUCCCGCGUUAAAUCCAGCGACCUAAUCGUUGGGCUGCGGGGGAUACGGUCAGGCUAGGAGGCGGGAGAGGCCGACGGUAUUCUCGGGGUAGGGGUGAAAUCCUAUAAUCCCGGGAGGACCACCAGUGGCGAAGGCUGUCGGCUAGAACGCGCUCGACGGUGAGGGACGAAAGCUGGGGGAGCGAACCGGAUUAGAUACCCGGGUAGUCCCAGCUGUAAACGAUGCGGGCUAGGUGUUGGGGUGGCUACGAGCCACUUCAGUGCCGCAGGGAAGCCAUUAAGCCCGCCGCCUGGGGAGUACGGCCGCAAGGCUGAAACUUAAAGGAAUUGGCGGGGGAGCACCACAAGGCGUGAAGCUUGCGGUUC
rnacentral:rRNA from 1 species